CCUGUGUCCUGCCAGUGGAUAAAUAUCUCAUGCCUCCUCCCCCAGCUUUAUUUUGGGGCUGGGACGGGUAAUGCUACCAUCUGCAGCUCUCCUUGCAAAGCUGCCAUCUUGAUCCCCGCUGACCGAUCACAGCAGACAAGCACGGAUCAGCUGGCAGCCUGAUACCCUGGGCACGGCGUGGCGUGGGGAGAAGGAUCCUUUUUGGAAAGAGCCUUUAUCCCGCCUGAGAACCAUCCCCACUAGGAAUCAUGGCUGCUCUCGCAAGGGGUUUCUGUCUCUCUUCAGUCCUGUUGGUUAUAUGGGUUGGCGUCUGUUCUCCAGUCUGUGUGGAAGUUCCGUCAGAGACGGAGGCUGUCCAAGGAACUCACAUGAAGCUGCUCUGUAUCUCCUGCAUGAAGAGAGAAGAGGUUUCUGCCAGCACUGUGGUGGAAUGGUUCUACAAGACUGAAGGGGGGAAAGAUGAGCUGAUCUAUGAAUACAGAAAAGUAUACCAUGAAUUUCCAAGCCGCUUCAGUGGCCGGCUACAAUGGAACGGGAGCAAAGACAUGCAGGAUGUGUCCAUCACUGUAUUAAAUGUGACCUUGAAUGAUUCGGGGAUCUACACCUGUAACAUCACCAGGGAGUUUGACUUUGAGAUUCAUCGCCCACUCUUCACAAGCUCCAGAUUGAUCCAUCUCACUGUGGUAGAGGAGGCUGGAGAAGAUUUCACAUCUGUCAUCUCUGAAAUUAUGAUGUAUAUUCUCCUGGUUUUUCUCACCUUGUGGCUGCUGAUAGAAAUGGUCUAUUGCUACAGGAAGGUCUCCAAAGCAGAGGAGACUGUACAAGAAAAUGCGACUGACUACCUCGCCAUUCCCUCAGAAAAUAAAGAAAACUGCGCUGUGCCCGUGGAGGAGUAGCCAAGAGUAGAUGGCCCAUGACCUGCAAUAAGGAACUCUGAAGUUGGAAGGACCAAGUCACUCCAGCCAGGUUUGGGAAAACUCUACAGCACCAGGAGGAAAUAAGGGGCAAGUGUAAAUUCUCUUCCACUUGCCUUGGACAUUGCACAGCCUUGACUUUGGCUUCACACUCCAUUUGCUAAAGGAUUCUCCUUUGAAGCAUGCUGAGGAAAGGGGGUUGGGGUGCGGGUGGCACUGCUCCUUCCUAAAUUUUGCCCCCACUCUCAUCCAGUGGCCUUGUAAAUACAAGUAUCAUUUAUUACCCUCACCAUAUUCCUUUGCAAAAUAUGCUAAUUCGACACUGCAUUAUUGAGGGGUAUGUCACAUUACCCUGACACACACGGCCAUCAGCAAGGUCAUCUUAGCAUUGUGCUCAACCUUUUGAUAAAGCUUGAACAGUAGCUUUAAUUAUUAAAAAGAAUAUCCUAAUCCUGCUCCACUCCAGUGCUUACUAUUUACCAUUCAAAUGCUUGCUCUCCAUGCUGCCCUGGACUGUAGGCUGCUGUUGCAAACCUAGGACAAGACUAUAGAGAAGCAGAAGCUUAGAGCUGCAAAAAAUGUACAACAGCACUCAGCAUGCAGAGAAUUAGUGGGCAGCAAUCUACAUGCAGUAGCUUGCCAUGCACACCCUGCUGCAUAGUGUGCUUUGACCUGCUGCAGAACAUUUAGCACAUCGUUGCAGGCUUCACUCAGCCAGUUAGCCCAUGGCAAGCUAAUGGGAUGUAGAUUUACGGCCUAGCUUGCCGCGCACUAACCAUGAAUAGCCAUGCCCUCAGGCUGUACCACUGCUAACUUGGGUUUCCCUGCUAUAAACUGCAACGAUUCCAAGAAGUGAUGUAUGUUACAUUUGGCAACUGUUUGUCAGAGUACUAGCUGUCUCUAUUAGCCUUGCUCUGUUAACUUACACAAUAGUGUUUACUUAUCAUGGAAAUAACCUCUAUCAACUAGUGUCCUCCAACAACCACAGGAGAGCAUCCCUGGGAGACAAUAGUCCCUGAAAUUAGCAAAGUGUCCUCAAAUGGAAGAGCGUUAAAGGUCGGAUCCCCUGAAGGGAGGAGAGAGUCUGGUUUAGGUAAGCAAGCAAAUGAAACGGACUGAUUAUUCCCAAAUGGGAAAAUGAGGAGGCAGUUUGGGAAUUUGUGGAGCUUUUUAUAACUAAUUGAUAGUCAUGGUGGGACAGCUGCACCACCUAGAGGCAACCAGUGGUUUUCUCCCAUAGCCCUUAAUGUGUUUCUUGGGAUAAUGAUUCUCCAUGCUGAAUACUCCGUGUUAGUCUCAUGUGAUCUAUUAUUGCAGAGCCAUUCUUGUGUAAAUUAAGUUUCACUUAUAAACACAGUACUGCACUGCAACAGUAUAUAAACAGUUGCAGAUACAGUAGCCAGGUGGGGGGGUUGGCUUUAUUAAAUGUAAAACAUUUAAACAUGUUGAUUGUGGUUUCCCAUUCACAGAAACAUUAGCCUUAGAAUCUGAGAUUAUUGGGGAAAACAUUUGUCUAUAUGUAGAGGUGGCACAUGAGGGUGAGAUGCUCCUGAAUGCCAUUUUUCAGGAAAUGAGUCUUGGCUCCUAGCAGAUGACAUGGUAUCCCCUGCUGCAAUGACUGCUAUACAGCUUGCAAAGUUAAGUUGAAUCUGCCACACUGUUUGCUCCUAAAUAAAUAAAGCACUCACUGAGUCAGGCAUGCUUCCUGCAUAUGGAAUUCCUCUGCUUUGUUAUGCAUAAAUUGCAGAGUACGCAUAAAUUGCUCUGUCAUUUAAAGUUAGACAGGCCCAAACAAGAAUUCUAGGUGAUGGUUAUUCAGAGACCCAACUAGGAUCAGGAGCCGCAGAAUGCCCUGAUUUUUGUAAAUCUAAAACCCAGUUCCAAACAGACCUAACACACAGGGUGUCUGAAACCAGAUCGCAGGCUUACAGCUUGAGCCCAUCUAUGGAUUAAGCAUUCUGCAUCAGCAGUGCCUUAGCGUGGGCACUGGUUUCUUAGAACCCACUGUUUAAAAUGGAGGAAGAACCCUCCCUUACUUAGGUCAUGAUGGAAGUCUUCAUUUCUCCUAGGCCAGCAGAGUCAGCCUAAAAUGCUAUGGGAGGAAUAUUAACCCUCAAUCCAUAAUGUAGAAGCUAGAGCAGAGGAAGUGAGUCAUGACUCCAGGAUUCUAUGCUUGACUGUGAUGCGCUCACUGUGCUGUGGGACUUCAGGCAAGUUACUUAACAUCCUCAGUUAAGGCUCCUUGACAGUCCCCUUAAAGUAAAGGAAGGGCCAUGUUUUAUUCCCCACCCCUUUCUGAUUUUCUGAAGUAACCAGAUGCUUUUUUCUGUCGUCUUCCACUAACACUGUAAUUUAUGAAGUGCUCCUAUAGAUAAUACUACCCUCUCAAAUAUGUUUAGGUAGGGGGAACCCAUCUGUUGGGAAAGCUGUAUUAGGACUCCCUAUCUUUUAAUUGAAAAUGGGAGAGUGAGAUGGCACUGCCCCAAGGUUAAAGCUAAUGUGUCAUCUGGGAAGAUCAUCCCCCACUGGUGUCAGGAAAGACCCUUCUCUGUAUAUGGAAAUAGCAAGAGAGACUUAGAAUUAGGUAGGACAAUAAAAAAAACACAACUCAAAUGUAACUGUCAUUUGUUCAAUACUUUUUUUAAUUCAUAAUGUACUUUCCAUUGUUCUAGCUACUUUACAUUGAGAUUUGGCUGUGCAGCCUUUAUAGUUGCUAGUUUCCUAGCAGGUAAGUAUCUUUAUCACACCUUGCGCACAGCGCAAAGUUUAUUAGUUACAGAGCCAAACAGUUAGCCAGACAAUGCCUCAAAACACAACUGCUCUUCCUUCUGCAUGUGGCAUAGCCGCAGAGUUUGUGUUGCCACCACAGACUAGUCAACAAGACAGAGGUGAGCCUUGGCCUGUAUCUCUCCCUCCCAGUUUAGAAUGUGAUGACGUAGAGGGGAAAUGCCCACUGUGGGGAUGAUCAUACAACCCACUCUUGUUGAUGUGAGUAAAUCCUUACUCAAAUGGAAUUACUUGCAAGAGUAAGGAUUACUCAUCUGAAUCUGGUUGCAGGCACUAGGCCCUUGUGUGGGGAAAAGUAUUCCAGGAAUGUAGCAGCACUACAUGGCCAUGGAACGUUUGAGGUGUGAGCUGUGGGGAAAAAAUGCAUUGCAACCAGCUGGAAACAUUGCAAAAUGUACAGUACCAAGAGUGCAGGACUACAGCAUUCCCACUAAGCCAAAGUUUUGAAAUGAAUCUAAGAGUGUUUACCUACCCAUCUUCCUCCUCUGCUCUCAGCUCUCCCACAUCUGAACUGCACACUUACCCUAGGAUGAUGGCUGUUUUACAAAUGAUCCCCUCCAGUCACCGAAACUCGCUCAAAGGCCAUAGGCUCAGGUAUGGCAUUUUCAAGUCCCCAGCGACUGCGCCGUGUCCCUCUCCUGCUCCUCCAAGACACAAGAAAACAUGCUCACCUGCUGUGGGAUUCAUACCCAGACAGACAUCUCACCAGCUGCCCAGCCAGCAUGCCGAGCCCAGGACGUUACAUACCACACCCCUCAGGCUUCCUCUCUUGACCUCUGCUGGGUUAAAAUGCUCGAUCAUUAAAAAUUAAUCCUUUCAAAUGACCUUUCAAAAUAAAUACAAAUGCAACAGCCUGAGCUGCCGCCUGCGUGGAUGCCCCGUAGCUGCCACUAUUGAUAGCCCCGGCCUACCCUCAUUCUAAAAGGUUCACCACAAUGCAACAGGAAAUGCACCAAAACUUCCCCUGUUUACAGCAUCUUUCUAAGAAUGACAAUUACCUAUGUGGCCGGGCCUUUCUUCCACCCCACUUCUAACAUCUCCAGGGAUCAGCCAUGCAACUGGAGGGUGGGCGGCUUCCUGAUACAGAUCUAUUCAAUCCGUUUAAUUGCAAUUGUGGUUUCUUUUUUUUGUAAAAGGAAGCUACUCCCUCUCCUUGUGAGUUUCCACCAGAGGUAAGAUGUAUGUAAGUAGAUACUGGUACAUGCCAAAUGCCCUCACCUAGCCCACAUUUUUUUUCUUUUUUGACAGAAGGGGUUUAAAAAUAGUGAGCAACAAGGAAAAAAAACAGGGUGUUGUAUCAAGUCAGAGCCAUUAGCCUUUACGUGCCUCUGAGUGGGAAGUGAGCACAGAUAGCCCUUUCAGCACAGCUGCAGCUCCUUAGCACAGGGGUGGUGCAUUGACAGGGACACAAACGCAUGGAGGGUUGAGGAAAACAGUAUGUAAAGGGGACGUUGUCAAGUGAAAAAGAACCAAAGGACUAAAUUCACUGACUUCAAUGAGAUAUGCCAGGGUCUGGAUUUAGCCAGGAACACUGAGUAAUAACCCAUGUCAGCGCCCCUCUACUUUGCCAUUAAUGUAACUUCUAUUAAUAAAAAGUGAAAUGUUUCAUUGAGAAAAUCUGGUUCAGUUUCUGUGCUUUACUUAGCAAAAUUAGGCUGGCCAGUUUAACGGCGAGUUGCACCCCUACUACAGCAUUCUAGCAGAGGGCUCAGAACAAACCCCAUUUACUACUGAAUGAGAGUAGUUUCCUAGAGAACUCUCAUGGCUCAAAGCCUGCUCAGUUCAGUAGGCUACUCCCACAAGAGACUGAUGUCUUCUAGCAAAAUCCUCCUUGUCCUCAAUGGGGCAAGGUAAAGCUGACAAUGUCCCCUUUAAAUACCUGUUCAACAUUCAGGUACCCACAGGUGGGAAGAGAGAGGGGGAGGGGCAUUUGCUCCAAUUCUUCCCUUUAAAACAAACAGACAAACAAACAGUCAGGAAUACACAGAAGAGAGGUGCAUGGGAACAGGUAAGCGCGAGCUGCACUCUCCCGGACAGUGCCUCAGUGCUGGGAAAGCACAGCCCUCCCAUCGCAUCCCGUCCUACCCCAG